AGUUGGUGUUCUCUGUGACCAGGGAGCUGCUCAACGUGCCCUCCUCGUCCCUGUCCCCUCCUCUCUUCACCCCUCCCAACCUGCUCUCUCUCUUCUCGCGCUACGUAGACCGACAGAGGCUGGAGCUGCUGCAGGAGAAGUUACAGAUCUCCGCAUUGUCGAGGUAGAAGUAACGACAGACAUCAAGAGAACCCCAGUUGAAGCGUGUGUGCGCAGAAGAGUAGGAUGUCUACUAGGGUUGAUAAUGAUUUUAAUCCAGCAGAAUCUCUUGUCAUUUUUUUCUUUGUGUCCUUUAGGUGUGUAUGGGGAUGCGUGUGAGUGAGCGAUGAAACUGAGAGAAAAUAAAAUCAGCUUUUUUUUAUUCUUAUUGUUGAUGCCUGUGAUAAAACAUCAAAUUAAAAAGUAUUUCUAUUGUA